rfam:Achromatium sp. WMS2 contig-183_266, whole genome shotgun sequence.
GUAACCGCAAUGUUAAACUGAAAGAAGGGAGAGGUAAAGACACAACCGCACAAACCGAAACAGGUAAAGAGACAGAGUGUGGCGAUAAGCUUGCUAAGGAACGCGAAAUCCAACUGUCACCGAAAGACACAUCAAGUAGAGCCUGACGGCACGAGUCAAAAGUACAUGCC